rnacentral:rRNA from 1 species
GAUGAACGCUGGCGGCGUGCCUAAUACAUGCAAGUCGAGCGAACAGACGAGGAGCUUGCUCCUCUGACGGUAGCGGCGUACGGGUGAGUAACACGUGGAUAACCUACCUAUAAGACUGGGAUAACUUCGGGAAACCGGAGCUAAUACCGUAUAAUAUAUUGAACCGUAUGGUUCAAUAGUGAAAGGCGGUUUUGCUGUAACUUAUAGAUGGAUCCGAGGCGCAUUCGCUUGUUGGUAAGGUAACGGCUUACCAAGGCUACGAUGCGUACCCCAUCUGAGAGGGUGGAUCGCCACACGAGCUCAGAGGCUCGCCCCCCACUCUGACGGUAGGAAGCAGUCGGGAAUCUUACGCGAUGGGGGAGAGCGGGACGGAGCACCGUCGCGGGAGUGAUGAAGGUCUUAGGCUGGUAAAACUAUGAUGUUAGGGAAGAUCAAAUGUGUAAGUAACUAUGCACGUCUUGACGGUACCUAAUCAGAAAGCCACGGCUAACUACGUG